GACGUAGGGCGCGAGUGUUGUCCGGAUUUAUUGGGCGUAAAGAGCUCGUAGGCGGCUCGUCGCGUCGACCGUGAAAACCCGCGGCUUAACCGCGGGCUUGCGGUUGAUACGGGCGGGCUAGAGUUCGGUAGGGGAGACUGGAAUUCCUGGUGUAGCGGUGAAAUGCGCAGAUAUCAGGAGGAACACCGGUGGCGAAGGCGGGUCUCUGGGCCGAUACUGACGCUGAGGAGCGAAAGCGUGGGGAGCGAACAGG
rnacentral:rRNA from 1 species